CCAGAUUGACCAAAUGGAAAGCUUGAGGGUGAAAAUGGUUUCUAUGGGGCCUAAAAUGUUACAGGUGUAUUGAUUAUGUACUUGCAUGGAGAUCUUUAUCCUGAAUGUGCUGGUGGCACUUAUUGUACCUGUACUGCAGCCACUUGGGGAGGUCAAACACAUCUCCUUCUUAACACACUGUGGAUUUGAAGGGAAGGCUGGUAUGAAGGCAUGCAUUGAAAAUGCAUGAUUGUUGGAGAGUAGCUUGAGCAUAGUGAUGGCUGUGAAGGAGUCAUUCCUGGAUCUGAUCCUCAGCCAGUGGAAAGGUCACCAAGUUGAAUAAGGCUGCCGUGGGCUUGCUGGAAUUUGGCCCAGAUUUAAUGCUUUAUUUCAGGCCCAGGGUAAUGGGCUCUCAUAGGUAGGAGCAAAACUAAAAGCUAAAACUAGGUGGGGGAAUUUCGGUUGGUUCAAAACUAUUUAUGGAUGGAGGUGAAAGCAAACAAAGGAAGUGGAGUGAAACAAGAAAAGCAACUGGGAGGCUGUAACACACACAACAGUUUAAGAGCACUUGAAGCCAUGGAGAGAUAAUUCUAGGGAGUAAACUCUGAGGCAGGAAAAACAAACCCUACAGCCCAGGUAAAGCCAACACCUGGAUUCCUUUAAAACACUCAGACAAGAUCAGCAGCGGAAGAUAUUACCAGCGGUGUGCCAGGAUGGAGUGAUUUGGUCCGGAGAUGAAGAAGGAGGUGUGGAGUACAUGACCAUUGCCACCAAGACUGGUGCUGUCCAGCCGUUGGGAGGACGUCUGAGAUGUCAGGAAUCUGGUUGCCUUCAUCUUCCUUCUCACCCUGUGACACUGAAGCUCCUGCAGUUUCCUGCAAGCUGCUCUUUCUGCUUCAUCUUUCUCUUCCAUAGGAGGGAAAGGGUUUUUUCUUGCUGCGAGGAGGUUUCAAGAGUUGAUGUCUCUGAAGACUUCAGUGGAAAGCUCUUGGCAUUUUCAAUACAGCUUCAUCGUGGUGCUGAAGUGAGCAAAAAGGUUUCUGCAGAGGAUGUUGUGUGUGACAUCUGCUGCUUAGACUUCGAGGCAUUUACGGAGAUGAAAUGUGCCUUCUCGCGUCUCAUCAUACUGAUACCUCUUCAACUUUUGCUCCCUGGGUUGGCCUGCUCAUGA
rnacentral:lncRNA from 1 species